UUUCAGAAUUAUUUGGAAUUUGGUCAAAGCUAGAAGUUAAAUGUUCAGGUCCAGAUAGUUUAAAGAAGCUUACACCAGACAGUAUCAAUUGUUGGCCAGUAGACAGAAUCAGCACUGCGUAUGGUCAGCUGACAUUUCCUGCUGUGUUGGACAAUUGGAACGCUCAGAAUUUGUUCAAAGAUGAAUGGACAAGUAUAACAGAGAGUGGAAAUAG
rnacentral:lncRNA from 1 species